rnacentral:rRNA from 1 species
UACAGAGGUCCCGAGCGUUGUUCGGAUUCACUGGGCGUAAAGGGUGCGUAGGUGGCAUGGUAAGUUUGAUGUGAAAGCUCAGGGCUCAACCCUGAAAUGGCAUUGAAUACUACUGUGCUGGAGGUUUGGAGGGGGGACUGGAAUUCUCGGUGUAGCAGUGAAAUGCGUAGAUAUCGAGAGGAACACCAGUGGCGAAGGCGAGUCCCUGGACAACACCUGACACUGAGGAGCGAAAGCCAGGGGAGCAAACGGG